GUUGGAUAGUUCUGGAAAAUACCAGGCACACCAAACAGUAUUAGGAAGAUACAAAAUGUUAAACUUCUGUGGAGGUCUGGGUGAAUGAAACUGGAACUGCUGUACUAAUAACCCACGAAUGUGCACAGAAACAUGGACAAGCCUGCUAUACUAUGUUCAAUGGUUAAGGACAUCUCAUGAAAUUUGGAAUGAUCACCCUGAUCUCCUUUUUCCAUCACCACAGAUCAAUGUCUUCCUUCUAGGUCCAGAUUUCUCAUCCCUGUCCUUGUGAUAUCACUCUUCUUUGCAUACAACAUACAGAUCAUAUCCAGGAGAUUCAGAUGAAUUUAUAUGGACAUCAUCAGACUUGAACAGGGUUAAUCUGCUUAGGCUCAGACAUUCCUUACGAAGAAUGGGAUGAGGAGAGGCAGGGGAAGCAAUGAAGCUAUGCUCACUGACUACUGGAAGCAAACGCAGGAGAUGUUUCCAUCUACUUUCCACGGAGAGAAGGUUGCUGGCAGCCUCUUCCGUUCUCAUCCUCUAUGACAGGACACUUCAAAUGAUAUUUUAUCAUUCACAGUUUUCCCUGUGGCCUCCCUGAUUUGUUUCCCUAGGACUCUUGUGUUCCCUCCCCCUUUAGAGUGUCUCACAACUGACAUUUUGCUGCUUCCAGUGACACCAAGGAGCAGAACUCAGUUGCUCACGAGCUACCUGUGUACUGUAUGCUCUUAAUA